rnacentral:sRNA from 1 species
GUUAAUAAACUGAUGACUGAAACAGGCCCGCACUCCUACUUUCAGAGCAAAGCAAUUUUAUCAGACUCUCUGGGGGAAGAGGGAGCAGACACUGCAUUUUCCUUUUUUAAAUUUCUUUCUCUUUUUUAGGCUAGUCAAAUGAAGCAGUGGGAUAUGCUGCAUUUUCAAAAAGCCUUCCCAGGAGACUGCAGUGUUUGUGCUGGGUCGAGAAUCACAAAAAACCAAAAGAAUAUUUAAUAUCUCUAUUGGAACGACUGAGAAUUGCAAAAGUAACAGGCGUGGCGUUUCCUUUCUUUAUGGAUAACUCUAACAUUGUGGCUAUGUUUGAGAUGAUGGACUCCUCAGGCAGAGGCACCAUAUCAUUUGUGCAGUAUAAAGAAGCCCUAAAAACCCUGGGUCUAUGCACUGAAGAUGAAGAUUUACAAGAUGAUGGACAUAAAAUAACUUUGGAUAAAUUCAAGGAGGAAGUAUGUAUACAUCCAGCUUCUCUACAAGCAUUUGCCAGAAAAUUUUAAAUAAGGAGAAACAAAGCUGCUGCUCCAACUGAAGUAAAUGGUCUCGUAACGUCAGCAGCAACGGGCAAGCCGAACUGGACAGGGACAUCACUGCCUGCUCUGACUGAGAUGGCAAGGACAACCAUCUGGAAAAAACACAUUUUUACCAAAAAAUUUUCAUCAGUUUCUAUUUUUCAAGUUUUUAAAUCAUUUUAAAUUUGAGGAAGUGUUCUGUCCUAGGGCAUAUUGGAUAAGAAAAAAUAUACAGCCUAACAUUAAAAGCUCUAUCAGAAAAUAAAUGUA